rnacentral:rRNA from 1 species
GACGAACGCUGGCGGCGUGCUUAACACAUGCAAGUCGAGCGAUGAAGUUUCUUCGGAAAUGGAUUAGCGGCGAACGGGUGAGGAACACGUGAAGAAUCUGCCCUCCACUUUGGGAUAACACAGGGAAACCUGUGCUAAUACCGAAUAUUGAAACAUAAGUGGCAUCACUGAGUUUUGAAAGAAUUUCGGUGGAGGAUGACUUCGCGGCCUAUCAGCUAGUUGGUGAGGUAAUGGCUCACCAAGGCAACGACGGGUAGCCGGCCUGAGAGGGCGACCGGCCACACUGGGACUGAGACACGGCCCAGACUCCUACGGGAGGCAGCAGUGGGGAAUAUUGGGCAAUGGAGGAAACUCUGACCCAGCGACGCCGCGUGCGGGAUGAAGGCCUUUGGGUUGUAAACCGCUCUCAGUAGGGAAGAAGCGAAAGUGACGGUACCUACAAAAGAAGCACCGGCUAACUAUGUGCCAGCAGCCGCAGUAA